rnacentral:rRNA from 1 species
GACGAACGCUGGCGGCGUGCCUAAUACAUGCAAGUCGAACGCAGUUGGGACGGGUUAGUAACACGUGGGUAUCCUCCCCAUCAGAGGGGAUACCACUUGGAAACAGGUGCUAAACCGAUACUGAUGGAUGGACCCGCGGUUCAUUAGCUAGUUGGUCAUGUAACGGCUCACCAAGGCCACGAUGCACAGCCGACCGUAGAGGGUGGUCUGCCACACUGUGACGGAGACACGGCCCAGACUCCUACGGUAGGCAGCAGUGGGGAAUCGGCGGCAAAGGAGGAAUGUCUGGCAGAGCAACGCCGCGGGAGGGAAUAAGGUUUUCGGAUCGUAAAACUCUUUUGUUAGAGAAGCGGUAUCUAACCAGUAAGCCACGGCUAACUACGUGCUAGCAGCCGCGGUAAUAC